UACAGAGGUUGCAAACGUUGUUCGGAAUUACUGGGCAUAAAGCGCACGUAGGCGGUUCGUUAAGUCAUGUGUGAAAUCCCCCGGCUCAACCGGGGAAUUGCGCCUGAUACUGGCGGGCUAGAGAUCGAUAGGGGUGAGUGGAACUCCAGGUGGAGCGGUGAAAUGCGUAGAUAUCUGGAGGAACACCGGUGGCGAAAGCGGCUCACUGGAUCGAUACUGACGCUGAGGUGCGAAAGCUAGGGUAGCAAACGGG
rnacentral:rRNA from 1 species